CUUCAGUGCCAGGCGAGAGAGACAGAGCCAGCCUCGGAGCCAGUGGACACAGAGCACGGUAACCGAUGUGAAAGAGAAAAAUAAACUGAUUUUUGAGUUAAAUGACAAAACAAAGAUCAAAGAAGAAAGUGAUGAUGUAAAGGCCUGUUAGAAAGUCAGAAGGAUAAAUUAAUAGACAUGGAAUUCCUGGAUCAAAUGAUGUUAAGAGAGGCUUGCCUGAAAACAGACUUGUGCCUGCCCUAUAGGGCUCAACCUAAUGCCCUCCCUAAUCAAAUUACACAAGCAUGCACUUGCCCCUUUGGCAUGUAUACUCUGUGACAUUGGUACAGACUUUACCUGCAGCACAAAGUCAUCCCAUAGCACAUGGAUAGUAAAAAGACGUUCCAGAUCACAUGAACUUCCUGCAUCAUUGCCCUCUUCCAGAGGCACGUGGGUUCUCCUCAAUACACACUCCUGUAAAGGACAUUUAUCUUCUCCAUAUGACAACAGACUUACUCUACCUUAGUCUACCUAUGACACAGAGAUAAUUCCAAAACUACAGCCUGUCUUCAUGCCAUAAGGAUCUUUUCCAGAACACAUAGAACACACAGACUUAAUGUAUAGAAUCCAUAGUCUCCCCACACAACACAUGCUUCUCCCACUAUACAGAUACUCCUCAUAUUACAAAAAUCCUCCUUACAGCAAGAUGCCACACAGCAGAAACAGUUCCCAUAUCAUGCACAAUUCUUCCCAUGCAUGCCUCACUGACCAAAACCCCUAGCCACACAGAUUCCUUUAUGUCACAUCAAAAUAUAUUUAAAAGUAUGUAUCCUUGCUUCUACAGCACAUAGACUCUCUUCACAUCAUAGAAACUUUUGCCAUAGCACACAGACUCUAGAGUACCUAGAGUCUCUCUAUUAAACAUAGACCUCUGGCCCUGCACCUGAACACAGAUUUGUGACACAGCUCAAAUUUCCAUGCCAUAACACAAACUCUCACAGGUAAGUACCACAAAACAAAGACCUUCCCAAUGGGACACAGACUUGUCUCACAUUAUACACACAUUCUCUAUAAUAUGUAUAUUCAACUCAUGAAACAUAGAAUAAAUCCAUAGCACAGAGACACUCUUGGAGGCAAUCAGACAUGCUUACUUCACCACACAUAGAUAUAACACUGCACUCCUAAACACAUAUAUCAAGCCUUGUUGCAUAGGAUUACAGUGCAAUGUAAAAACUUAUCUUACAAUGUACCAAUUAGCCUCAUAGCAAGCAUGCUAACUAUACAAUGCAAACACUUGCCUCACAGAUACUCAUUUAUCUUACAACAUCUGGAUCUUUUUCCAGAAUUGAAGAGUUAUUAUACAACUUAUACUGUAGUCCUACAUCACAAAAAUGUCACUAAAUUCCUCAUACAAACUCUGUGAUCAAUAGAUAUCACAAGAUACAGCAUGGCAUCACAGUAAACAAGUUUGGUAGUACCUCAAACAUAUUUGCUCAACAGCAGACAUACUUAUGCUGUAGUACCACUCCAUCUUUCUCUAAAGUACUUAAGCUCCUCUCAGCACACCAUUCGUGGUGACCCACAGUAUGAGUGAGAACAGGAUCUUCAUUCAUCCCACUGCAGAGAUGCAAUCUACAACAUGCAAAUAAAUCUCAAAGCACAACACUGCACACUCAUAGCACUCAGAAUUGUCACAUAUGCAUUUUUCAUACAGCUUCAUUUCCCAAAACCCAUACUUCCUACAGUGGGUUACACAUUGUGAGCACAUGCUCUAAACACUCAUAACUAUUUGUUAAGUAACUCUCAGAUUUACAACAAAGUACAUGGGGCUAGUUUCACUGCUCUUAUUGCUGUCUACAGAACAUGAUAUGCCCAAUCAUUCACAAACUCCAACAUAUACAGAAUUUUCCAUCAAUACCCAUACUUUCCUCCCAUCUCAUUCAAAUGCUGAAGUCCUUCAGAACACAGACUUGGUCCAUAAUAUAUACAACCACACAUUUGCAUAAGCAUUAAAAUAUGUAGACAUGCCUGUGAAUGCAUACCUUUGUUCCACAAUGUGCAGAAUUUUAUUGUAAUACUUACUCUACCAUGAAUGUAAGCAUUUCUCAUUGUACAAAUAUGUAAUAUACAUAUUACCCUCACUUUACAAACAUGUACAUCAAAGAGGACAUGCAUGUGUUACCAUACUAUUGAGCUACAACUCUGAACUACAGAAGAAUUCAGCUUGUGUAAUGAUUAAGAGCAAGACCUCUGGAUCCAGACCAUCAGAAUUUGACUCUAUAUUCCAUAUAUUGUUAACUGAAUCACCAGUGAUUGAGAGUGCAAAGGAAUAGGAAGAGGCUUCAUGCCCAGGAUGUAUUUGCCAUCUAGUGGCCAUAAUGAUGUCUCUUGGAGAACCUAGCACAGUGACAUGCACAGGGGUGCCUAGUCAGUGACUGAAUGCACCAUGACAGAAUUCUGGGAUUGCAAUUCUCCCCUAAGAUUGACAGCCUGACCUCGACUUCUGAGUUCUACAUAACCUCACAACUGCAAGUCAUUCUCAUGCAACAUAUGCGUUUAUCUUGUCUGUGCCUUUGUGAAGUUUGCGAUAAUAUACAAGUUAAAGUUCUCGUCUUGUUGUUUGCUAUUUCAUGCAGAAAGUGCAACAUUUGGGCUUCCUGCUUCUCCUUUGCUCCUCUGCUUGUCACCCCCCCCCCCCUGCAGCCAUUGGUUAUGUGUAUGUGUUGCCAUGCAGAACUGCUUAGCACCAUCUGUUUUGGGAAUGCUAUCAUUUGGUUACUGGCAUUAUGAAAUGAGAAGAUUUACCACUUGGUGAUAUUGAAACUUUUGAUAGCUAUACAUUUGCCUAAGUUAGGAUAAGAAGGACCUCCAAGCAAAGGAACAGGACAAUGGAAAACAGAAAUGCAAGAAGAGUGAAACAGACAAAAAAGUUGCAGAAGAAACUGAAAAUGUGCAUCAUCUGCAAAACCUUUGGGUCAGGAGAGAAGGAAUUUGGACCAUUCAUCUUGUCAUUGAAACCGGUUCUACAAACAGUGCCACAUACACAGCUGAGAACUGGGAUUCACACUGUGAUGGCUCUGAUGAUGUGAUCAUCCACGUGCUGAGGGAAGACAACAGAGCAGAAGACAGAGGUUACUUCUCUGCAGACGAACUCCAAUUUCCUCUAUUCUUUCCUUAUCACUAUUAUCAUGACCAGCAUUUUCAUUGGUGCAUUAUCAUCCUCACCAGGAGGGUUUCCAGUGGUGCCAGUGUCAAGGUCUUCCAACAUCUCCAGGUCUUCCAGCAAUUGCAAGUCUUCCAACCACCUCAAGGUCUUCCAGACAAUCCUGGCCUUCCAGAAAAUCUGUCUUCCACAUGACCAUGUCUUCCAAAACCUCCCAAGUCUUCCAAUAAAUCCAGUCUUCCACAAAAUCCAGCUCUUCCAGGAAAAUCCACGUCUUCCAGAAAAUCCACGUCUUCCAGUGAUUUCAAGGUCUUCCAGCCAAUCUACGUCUUCCAGGAAAUAAAUCUGUGUCUUCCACCAAAUCCAAGUCUUCCAGAAAAUUCCCAGGUCUUCCAGCUGAUCAACAUCUUCCAGAAAGAAAUCCAGGUCUUCCAGCCAAUCCAUGUCUUCCAGAAAAUCUAUGUCUUCCACCAUAUCUAAGUCUUCCAGUCAGUUGAAGUCUUCCACUCAAUUAAAGUCUUCCUAUAAAUCCAGUUCUUCCAGUUAAUCCAGGUCUUCCAAUCAACCCAAGUCUUCCUGAAGAAAAAUCCAGGUCUUCCAGCCAAUCUACGCCUUCCACCAACUCAAGUCUUCCAGUCAACUCAGAUCUUCCAAUAAAUCCAUGUCUUCCAAAAAUCUCCAGGUCUUCCAGCCAAGAUAUGUCUUCCUGAAGAUGAACGUCUUCCAGAAAAUCCAUGCCUUCCUGGAACCUCCCAGUCUUCCAGCAUAUCCAUGUCUUCCAAAUAAUCCAGGUCUUCCGGACAAUUCGGGUCUUCCUGAAAAUCCAUGUCUUCCAGGAAAUCCUUGUCUUCCAUCAAAUCCAUAGCUUCCGGAAAAUUGAAGUCUUCCAGCUAAUCCACAUCUUCCAGGAAUUCCAUGUCUUCCAGAAAACCCAGGUCUUCCAUGAAAUCCAUGUCGUCCAGCCUAUCUAUGUCUUCCAAUGAAGCUAUGUCUUCCAGAAAAUCUAUGUCUUCCAACAGAUCUAUGUCUUCCUACAUCUCCAGGUCUUCCAGCAUCUCCAGGGCUUCCAGCAUCUGACUGUCUUCCAGCAUCUCCUCAUCUUCCACAAUCUUCAUGUCUUCCAACAUCUUCAAGCCUUCCAACAACUACCGAGUCUUCCAUCAACGGGCUCAAUAUCCACGUUUUCCAAUGUCUCCAGGGUACCAGGCUUCUGAAAGUUAGGUUUUCCAGUGUCUGCAAUAUUCAGGAUCUACCUGCUUCUUCAUAUAUCAUUGGCCUGGGUUCCUGAUCACUGCUUUGUAUCCAAGUAAUGGUAACUACAACUUCUUAAAUCUCAGAAUGCUGAGAUAGAGAGCUAAUUGCUUGGUUCUCCCACUCUCAGCUCUCCUUGGGCACUUCUAGAAAUAUUGCUGAUUAUGACUCUGGUUGGUAUGAACAUAAUGAAAUUAUAGUUAGGCAAGUGAUCUCUAAAGAUUUGUAAUCACCUACAUGGUAAUUCUUGAAAUAUCAAUACCUUUUGAAUCAUAGUCUAUAAUGUACUAUCAUUCCAUUUGUUCAUCUGUCUGUUCAUUUAACAAGUAUUUAUUGAGUGCCAAUUGUUUGCCAGGCAUGGUUUAAUGAAGCUUAAAAUCAUAUGGGGGCUGCAUAUAAUAUACAAAUAAUUUAACAAAUACUUAUCAAUUAUGGUGAAGCAAUGUAAGAAAAAUAAAUAUAGGUGUGAGAGGUAAGAAAUGUAAGUUUAGAUGCUGUGAGAGUUUUGAAAGAAUAGUAUUCCUGAGGGAGUGACAUUCAUAUUGAUUCUGAAGGAUCUAGGUCCUCAUUUUUUUUUAUCAUAGAAAGCUUGUUACUUAGGUAAUACAUAUGAUUUGGUAUGAGAUUUACCUAUUGAGAGUAUGGACAGUGAGAAUGGGAUUGUGGUGUUGUUUGGACCCCGUUUUGUUUUCUUCAGUAUUCCAUUCUGCCUUAAACAAGGAAUAUCAAAAAUUUGUAGUCUUCCAAUGAAAUAGUUUUAGUUUGAAAUAUUGAUCCAAGGAAAUUGGCUACAAUGUGAAUAAUACAAGCUGGGCAUGUUGGUACAUGCCUGUAAUCCCAGAAUUCCAGUGAAUAAGGUGAGGGGUAUUGAGCGUUCAAGGCCAGCCUGGUGUUCACACCAAGACAUUGUCUCAAAAACUGUAGAUAAUUCAUACACAAAAUGUUCUUCAUAUACUUACUGGCUAUAGUAUAAACAAAAAAAACCACAAGUCUAUCUUUAAAGGAAUUAUGAAGUACAUAAAACAUUAUGUUAUUAAAGUAUAUCUGGAUUGUUAAUUAUGUAACAGUUAAAAAUCAGCAUGAUGAUAUAAAGUGUGUAUGCAGCUAUACAUAAUAAAUAAUUAAUGCCAAGUGAUUAGACAUAAGUACAUUGGAUAUUGUUAACUGGUAAUCAUGGGUCAGGAAGAUUAUAUAUGACUUUGCUUUCUUCUUUACAUUCCUAUUGUUCCCCCAAAAGUUUUUUUAAACAAAAUUUAUUCCUUUUCAUGUGACAGUAUCUUUGUUUAAUAAAAGUAACAAAUUGUGCACAAAA